rnacentral:misc_RNA from 1 species
GGAAUAGGUAGAGUUAUGUCGGUUUGGUUAUUGAUUGGUUGUUGUAAAUAAUGAGAUGUUCAUAACAGUAAUGCAUGCAUUUAAUGAAGUUAUCCUUCAUAUAUAUAAGUUGAAACAGUGUUAUUUCUAAAAUCCAGUGAACAUUUUUUGGUAUUGAUCUUCAUAACAUGUUAAAUACUCUAUUUCGAAUAUAUCAUUGAGUGCAUUACCAAGCAACUGUUGUAUAUCAAUAAUUGGAUUUAUGAGAAGUAAAAUUUUCCAUUAACGUUGGAAUGUAGUUAUUUUCCAUGUCUUCUUUGAUAGUAGUUUAGGAUGAAUUACUAUCUGUUACUAAGUCUGAGAGAAUUGAGGGGCUAUGAUCUAUGUCAUUUCAUGCUGUAUGAUGUUGUGUUCUUCUGUAUGCAAAAUGUGUACCAUUUUUUAUCUUUCCCUUCCCACCCUCUCUCUCUCUCUCUCUC